ensembl:lncRNA
AUGGCACAACACACAGCUACAAAGGCCUCUGCUCUGCUCCCCACGCAGAUGGCUGGGGAGGAACCACAUGCAGGAGGGAGGGCGCAGCUCCUUCCUGAGCAGCACAGGGCCAUGCAAGGCGGGACGAACCCCAACUUAGUGCACAUAAAACUUACAGACACACUCAACUUCCAGCACUACCGACCUCUCCACCCCCCCCCCCCCCCCCCCCCCCCCCCCCCGCCCGCCCCGCCUCCUCCUCCCGCCGCCAUCAGCCGCCAUCAGCCGGGCCCAGCAGCUCGUACAUCGAACCGCAGCACGGAGCACACACACCGAGCGGCUCUCGGGGCUCGGAGGGCGGCGGUGGAGGCAGAGCAGCCCCGGGAGCGGCCUCACCUGCCGCCGGGCAGCAGCACCUCCAUGCACAGCGCAGCACGGACCGCGUGCUGCUGGAGGGGGGAAGAUGAUGUAACAAGGGGACUCCUGAGCACUCUGCACUCUGCCCCAAGAAUUACGAGCAUCUUACUCAAAUCUCCUCUAAUCCCACAGAUGGCCUGAUUUUAAUCUUUAUUAUUUUGCCAGUCUAAUUCUAAGCAGUGAACUUUUCAAUUCCCUCCUAGUCCAUCCUUCAAUGGAUCAUAGAAUCACAGAAUGGCCUGGGCUGAAAAGGCCCACAGUGCUCAUCCAGCUCCAACCCCCUGCUGUGUGCAGGGUCACCAACCAGCAGCCCAGGCUGCCCAGAGCCACAUCCAGCCUGGCCUUGAAUGCCUGCAGGGAUGGGGCAUCCACAGCCUCCUUGGGCAACCUGUGAACAGUGCGUCACCACCCUCUGGGUGAGAAACUUCCUCCUAACAUCCAACCUAAACCUCCUCUGUCUCAGUUUAAAACCAUUCCCCCUUGUCCUAUCACUGUCCAGCCGCAUAAACAUUCGUGCCCCCUCCUGUCCCAACUCUUUAUUCUUCAUUCAAGGCACCAUCUCUCGGAUCUUUCCAUGAUUUGUUAAUAAGUUUGCUGAGUAUGAGGUACCGCUCAUUUAAGAUGUUGUGUUCAGGUAUAGAACACAACACUAAACCCACUUCUGUCUGCAGUUAAGUUCGUAAAGCCCUCCUGGUAGCAUCGUUUGAAUUGUGUGCUAAGUAAACAAAGCUCAGCCUGCUUACAAAAACAUUCAAGGUGACAGAAUGUUCUGAAAUGGGAUGGAAAAAUCUAAGAAAGAUUUUAUUAAAGGCCUCAAGAUCAGAAAAUGUUUGCAUCUGCAUUAAGUUCCUCUUUAAAGAGCAGCCUCUGGAAGCAUCCACCUUCUGCAACACCUGCUGGGGAAGAGACUUGGGCGCUGGAGCUGCAGCUGCCCUCCUGUUAGAGGGAGGUACGGCCAAGUGGAGGCUCGGGGAAGGUGUCCCACUGAAAACCACUGCACUUUGGGCCUUGAAUUUUCCCACAGAAGAAAUAGAUUGGAGCAAAAGCUUAGUAUCUUUCUGCCUUUGUGCCUUACUGAGUCAGAAUCUGGCCUGGAUCACCGUGCUCUUGACCUCCCUGCUUGAACCUCCUCAUCUGUGAAUAAAUGCAGUAACGUACCCUUGUAUGAUUUCA